rnacentral:rRNA from 1 species
GACGAACGCUGGCGGCGUGCUUAACACAUGCAAGUCGAACGGUAAGGCCCUUCGGGGUACACGAGUGGCGAACGGGUGAGUAACACGUGGGUGAUCUGCCCUGCACUUCGGGAUAAGCCUGGGAAACUGGGUCUAAUACCGGAUAGGACCCUGGGAUGCAUGUCCUGGGGUGGAAAGCUUUUGCGGUGUGGGAUGGGCCCGCGGCCUAUCAGCUUGUUGGUGGGGUUGGGGCCUACCAAGGCGACGACGGGUAGCCGGCCUGAGAGGGUGACCGGGCACACUGGGACUGAGGUACGGCCCAGACUCCUACGGGAGGCAGCAGUGGGGAAUAUUGCACAAUGGGCGCAAGCCUGAUGCAGCGACGCCGCGUGAGGGAUGACGGCCUUCGGGUUGUAAACCUCUUUCAGCACCGACGAAGCGCAAGUGACGGUAGGUGCAGAAGAAGGACCGGCCAACUACGUGCCAGCCGCCGCCGUAAGAC